rnacentral:lncRNA from 1 species
GUGAGUAGUGUUAUUAACUCCUUUGCCAAGAGUCCACAACUCUCUAGUGGUAGAAGAGACCUGGGAGAAAAAAUGCAGAUCCAUGAGGGCUUUGUAGCAGGAAUCUUUUAAUUGCAAAUGAUGGAAACACAACUCAAACUGCCUUAACCAAAGGGAGAGUAUAUUGGUUCACAAAACUGGAAAUUCCAUAGCUGUUCCGGCAUGGUUGGGUGCCUGAGUAACAGGAUGUAGGGCUGAUGGUGGAGGAUGUGCUGCAGGCUAGGAAAGAGGGCAGCCAGGAUGACCCAUUGUCAGACGUCCAGACAGUGUCCUCAGGGAUCUGUCCUUGCCUCAGGCUCUCAACCCUGCUAGCAUUAUCUUGACCUCUUUGCCAGAUGACUUACCCCUAUGGUGGCAAGAUGAUCAUCAGCAGCUACUGUAUUACAUCCUUUCCAGCUUCCUCUGCUUUCACAGAGGUUCCAGCAACAAUCCCAGAGCUGCCUCUCAUUGCUCAAAUGGAGUCAUAUGACGCUGCCUAAACCAAUCACUGUAGCCAGGGAGAUGAAGUUUACUGAUGGGCUGAGCCUUGAAGCUGGGGAUGGGGAGUGGACUUAGGGGCAGUUGGGAGGGGACUCCCUAAAGGAAAAUCUGGGUGCUGUUCCUUCAAGAUGAGAGCAUGAGACUGAGAUGACAGUAACCCUGCAGGCCUAGGUGGGAGCUUCCAGUGCCUCUUGUCAUCAUUCUGGUAUGUCCAGGAAGUGGGAGGUGGCACCAAUGUGUAGCCACCCUGCCUGAGCCCACCAGCCUUGGAGUCAGAACACCCUGGGGUAAAUCCUGGCUCAGCUCUUCUCAGCUAUGUGAUCUCGGCCACCACCACUGAGCCAUGUGGUUAUCCCAUCCAGCCUGCCACCACUGGACUGUAUGUACCGCAGUUCUCCUAUCCAGCCCACCACCACUGGACUCUCUCUCCUGUAUGUAAGCCCCAAAUAAAACCUCA